rnacentral:lncRNA from 1 species
CCGUGCACAGUCUGUAGGGCACCCGUCUGCUGAACCUGCUGGAGAUGGAUGAUGCACGAGAGUUCAAGCCACUACCACUUCUCUGUGAAAGGCUGGAGAAUUCAGGGCCACGGUUUCAAAAGGUCUUAAAAAACAUAGCAACAAUGCAUUCCAACACUUCCCUCUGAUUAUGAGAAAGCACCCUGCCCUCCAAGCCUAGGUAAGUGUUGACAUGCUCAGUACCUCAAGCCCAUUCCUCUAUGAGUAGUCAGAGGAAUGGGUCAUGUGUGUGAUAGGGUCAGGUCUUAAUUUCAGCUUUUGGGCCUGGCCCAGCAAGCAUUUAAAAUGAGGCUCAGGGUUUGGUAUUUUAAGAAGUUUCAUGGUUUUUUUCUGGAAUACUGUGUGGUACUUAGCACUGAUACCAAUAAGGUUUGAGGGAAUUGAACUCUUUCUGCAGAUUUGGAUAUUUGUCUGCAUCUACAAGUGAGUACAUUUCCUUUUAGACUAAAGUGCCCCCCCCCUCCAAGUUGGUCUUUUAAAUGACCUGUGAGGCCCUCAUCCUGUGAUAACACCAUCCUGCCUUCCCCAGACAUAUUCCUCUAUCUACACAGCAGUCUUGGACUCUUUCUAGGGUUAUGCACGACCUCAGGGAUCUAUCAGCAUGAAGCUUGCUGGAAGAUGGAUGGCUCAGAGAAAAGUGAGAGAAGAGUCAAACUCGGUUGGAAAUGUUUAGCAUUUCCAUAGGGAAAGCUGGAAAAAGCAUGAAUAACUGACAGGCGCAGGAACAGGCAUGGGCAGACCUCUAAUGCAAACCCUGACUAAAUUUGGAGAUCCCUGUGGACCUCAGUAAACCACAAAAUAAAAAAUAAAUAAAUAAAUAAAUACA